UACAGAGGUCCCGAGCGUUGUUCGGAUUCAUUGGGCGUAAAGGGCGCGUAGGCGGAUGGCACAGUCAGAUGUGAAAUUCCCGGGCUUAACCUGGGGGCUGCAUUUGAUACGUGUUGUCUAGAGUGAGGAAGAGGGUUGUGGAAUUCCCAGUGUAGAGGUGAAAUUCGUAGAUAUUGGGAAGAACACCGGUGGCGAAGGCGGCGACCUGGUCCUUGACUGACGCUGAGGCGCGAAAGCGUGGGGAGCAAACAGG
rnacentral:rRNA from 1 species